UCUGUGUUUUCUGUUUCAUUGGGAGAGGUGGGUGGUUUCCUCCUACAGUGUGUUUUGCACACUUUCAUGCAUCACUGCUCCUCACAGUUUAAGUUCUGCUGUCACACAUGCUCUCAGGCACUUCCACUGAAAACUGAGUCAGGAUGGUGUUUCCAAUGUUGGUGGUUCUUUUGUUAGGCUUUCUGAGUCAGGAGUCAUUCGCCAAUAACUUUCUGACUCAGACUGAUGAAGUCAAGUCUGUCAGUCUUGGUGGGACCGUGACCAUCAGUGCCAGAGGAAGUUCAAAUAUUGAUGAUGAUCUCAGUUGGUACCUUCAGAAACCUGGACAGCCUCCCAAACUGCUUAUAUACUCAACAUCAACUCGCUUCUCAGGAACUCCGUCUCGAUUCAGUGGCAGUAGAUCUGAUUCUCAGUACACUUUAACCAUCAGUGGGAUUCAGGCUGAAGAUGCUGGAGAUUAUUACUGUCUGGGUGAUCAUGGUGGUGGAGUGUUCACACAGUGAUUUAGAGCUGUACAAAAACCUCCUUCAGUCUGGCUGAAGGCUGCGGGUGCAGAGUGACAGACUGCAAUAACUGAUCAACUCGACACCACAAGAGCAAAAACACAAUGAAUCUAAACAAAAUUGAAGAAAUACACAACUUUGUUUAUAAAAAUUUUACUUAAAUAUAUCUCAAUAAAAAGAAAUAAUGUGCUGGUCUGUUAGGUGCCCUGAUAGAAAUUAAUGCGUAUAAAGUAAUAUUUCCAUA